rnacentral:rRNA from 1 species
GGGGUACCUGAAGAUGGUGACUUUAUGGGGAGCUAUCUAAGGUAAAACCAGUGACUGGGGCUAAGUCGUAACAAGGUAGCCGUACCGGAAGGUGCGGCUGGAAUACCUCUUUU